UACGGGGGGGGCAAGCGUUGUUCGGAAUUACUGGGCGUAAAGGGCUCGUAGGCGGCCAACUAAGUCAGACGUGAAAUCCCUCGGCUUAACCGGGGAACUGCGUCUGAUACUGGAUGGCUUGAAUCCGGGAGAGGGAUGCGGAAUUCCAGGUGUAGCGGUGAAAUGCGUAGAUAUCUGGAGGAACACCGGUGGCGAAGGCGGCAUCCUGGACCGGCAUUGACGCCGAGGAGCGAAAGCCAGGGGAGCAAACGGG
rnacentral:rRNA from 1 species